UUCUAGACCUAUACCAUCACCCUGCACUCUCAAGUGUGCUGAAGAUUUGCCUACUGCAGAACCAAAGAGAGACCACCAUCACUGGCUGGACUUCCUGGCUUUUCUCCAGCCACCGCUCCCUCAGCGCACUGAUUGCUCUGAAUCAGCCGCUAAAAACUCUGCAAAAAGCAUGCAACAAACCCACGCGCCCAACAGUACUGACCAGCGCCUCUUGCUCCGAAGCGGUGACAGAGGAGGCAUCCGUAAGGGAGGACAUCUUGGUAUUGCACAUUUGCCUGCAGAGAAGAUCCCUGAGGCAGUCCCAAGCAGCUACACAGCAACUGGCCCAGGACAUCACUGGAAUGGCAGCAGACAGGGCUGCAAACUGAUGGUGAGAAUGUUUUUGGAAGAAGUGUGGUGUUGGAUUGCCUCAGCCUCCUUGUACUGUUUGGUGAUACAGCUGAGCCCAUCAAAUACCUCACUGAAAGAAUGCCCCAAGCUCAUCUGAUGCCCUGUUGAAACAAUGGCCUUGCCAGGAGCUGUGCAUUCCUAGCCAAGUAUUUCUUUGAACUGGCUUUGGCUCCUUUGACCACAGAUUUAUCUGAUUCAACAGCAGGAUAUUUACUUGUAUUUGCUGCUGUAUCAGCUUGCUUUAUCAAGAACACAUAAGACAUCAUAAAGAAAACAGCAAGGACACACAGCUGGAAGCAGAGAAUUGGAGAUGGAAAUGGGAAAUAACUCCUUCUGAAGGCAGGGAGCCAUUCAGUGGUCUUCUCCUUAUCAUCUAACCAUACUUUGAAUGUUGUAUCCUGUAUCAGUCACCUGGGUUGAUAAACCAGUUAGAACUGUGACCACAUUCCUAGAAGUUUCCCUCAGGUGUUACUCAGGGAGCAGAAAAGAGUGCAUGUUAUAUCACUGAUAAUUCCUUUAGCUCCCCAAAGCCAGCUUUUCCUGUGUUGCAAAGGAGUCGAAAGAUUUGCAAGAUGAGUUGUGUUGAUACUACCAAAGAAGGCACUUCUGAUGUAAUUUGCAGGCCCAUUGUGUUUUAUAACACAUUUGCUCUUUAUUUCAAACUGAAAGUGUUCUUUUCUGUGAAAGCUGAUGUAAAAAUACAAGUCUCAUUCCUUCUGCUGCUGUUGUGACUUUGUGACAAAAGUUACUGCCUUUACAACACAAUUUAUGCUGAAGGGAUUGUUGGAAAUGAUACAACUUCUAACAUUUUUAAUGUAACUUUAGUCAGUUCGUCUUUGCCCAGGGGGAGGGGAACUGAAGCUUCUCUU